AAUGAACGCUGGCGGCGUGGAUUAGGCAUGCAAGUCGCGCGGGUUCCGCAAGGGACCAGCGGCGAACGGGUCCGUAUAAGUUGGGGACCUACCCGGAAGUGGGGGACAACGUCGAGAAAUCGGCGCUAAUGCCGCAUGUGGGCCUUACGGCCUAAAGCAGCAAUGCGCUUCCGGAUGGACCCGACUCCCAUUAGCUUGUUGGUGGGGUAACGGCCUACCAAGGCAACGAUGGGUAGCUGGCCUGAGAGGGUGGUCGGCGACACGAGGACUGAGACACGGCCCAGACUCCUACAGGAGGCAGCAGUGGGGAAUAUUGGACAAUGGGCGCAAGCCUGAUCCAGCAAUGCCGCGUGGGUGAAGAAGGUCUUCGGAUUGUAAAGCCCUUUCGACGGGGACGAUGAUGACGGUACCCGUAGAAGAAGCCCCGGCUAACUUCGUGCCAGCAGCCGCGGUAACAC
rnacentral:rRNA from 1 species